AUCAGUGCUAGUGUGACAGGUCUGAGCAGAAAAGUGUCCCCAUGACUUACUUGUUUUUCCUGAACUGCCAGAGAUGGGGUUUUCCAUGUUGCCCAGGCUGGUCUCAAACUCCUGAGCUGAAGUGAUCCACUAGCCUUGGCCUCCCAAAAUGCUUGGAUUACAGGUGUGAGCUUCCAUGCGCAGCCUCAUUAUCUUAAUUUCAAGUCCACGAAUUCUUUGUUGUGCUGUCUCAAACCUACUAUUGAGCCCUUCUGGUGAAUUUUUCACUUUGGUUGUUGUUCUUUUCAACAACAGAAUUUCUAUUUGGUUCUUUUCAUAGUUUGUAUCUUUUUAUUGACACUCUGUUUGGUUAGACAUUGUUAACAUAUGUUCCUUUAAUUCUUUAGACAUGGUUUCCUUUAGUUCUUUGAAUAUAGUUAUAAUGGCUGGUUUGAAAUCUUUUGUCGGCUAAAUCAAACAUCUGGACCUCUCCAAAUGCAGUUUCUAUUGCCUGCUUCCCACCUACCCCCACUAGUCUUCCGGGCUUGCCUCUCUAGCAUGAAGCCUCCAACCUAUGGGUGAGCUGGAGUGGGACAGUCAGGUCCGUAUUCUUGGCCUGACUCAUUUGCUGGGUGAUGAGAGAUGCUGGAGGCUGGCCAUGAAGGGUGAAAUGUACCCUACACUGGGGGCUGGGGGAAGAGGGGACCAUCUUCUUGACUGGACCCCCUAGAGUAGAGCCCCAGGUUAGUCUCUAGAAAGUGAGUUUGGAUGGUGGAGGAGUGGGUCGUGGCUCACAGGCCACACACUUGCCGUUCUCACUUAGAUUUAGUAGUUAUUUUUGAUUCCAUUCAUAGAAUGUUUCUCCAUUUGCUGUAUGCCCUUAGGACAAUUUCUAGAGAUUUUAAAUGCUUGUCUUUCAUAAUUUUCUCCAGCUAAAUGUUUGUUGGAGAGAGAAUCCACUGUGUCCUCAUUCUGCUAUUCUGAAAGCUGGUCUUCUGUUUCUUUGAUUUAUUUCCAUUGGAAAUAAAGAUUCUCUAGAUGAUUAGCAUGUGUCGUGUGAGAAAACAAAAUGGCUCUUUAGCCCUUAUUUAUAAGUCUUGAGAGUAUUUGGAAACUAUCCAUUCUGAAUUUGUACACAAGUGUGAGCUGUUAUUUCUUGAGACAUCUUGAUUUGCUUGAACACAAGAAAUGAGCCAAGUACAAAAUUGCCAAGCCAGAUAAUGGAAGUGCAACACAUGCAGUGAGGCAUGAAGGGCUGCAGAGCCAUGAAGUAAGUGUCACAAGAUCCUUAAUAACAAAAGCACUUGGGGGUUUGUCAUUGUGCUCCAAAAUAGUGCCUUGGCCUUCUUAGGGUUUCUAGUAAAUCAAUGAUCCAUCCAUUCAUGUGCUAAAUACAGCAGGACUGCCUCCUGGAUAGGCCCUCUGUGAGGUGCUAGGUACAGGGUAGUGGGCAAACAGUCCCUGCCCUCUGUGUUUCUUGGCAAGAGAGACCAAUCACACACAAGUGUGCAACUACAGACUGUGUGAGUGAUAGGAAGGAAAUAAAGAGUGCUGUGAGAGAUAGCACUGGGGUGGUGGGAUGGUCUAGUCAGGCUUGUCAGGGAAGGCUUCUUAAAGGAAGGUGACCUUUAGGCCGAGCCUAAAGAGAGAGAAGCAACCAGUUAUGCAAAGGCUGAGAGAACACUGAAAAUAGAGAGCAUAGCAUGUAUGAAACCCUAGGACGGGAAAGAGGUUUUCCGUGGCUGAGAAACUGGAAGGAGGCUAGAAGAUAAUAAGAAAGACAAGACAGGUGUCUUAGUCCAUUUGAGCUGCUCUAACAAAAAUACCACAGACUGGGUGGGUCAUAAACAAUAGAAAUGUAUUGCUCACAGUUCUGGAGGCUGGGAAGUCCCAGAUCAAGGCACCAGCAGGUUUGGCAUCUGGUUGAGGGCCUGCUGCCUCACAGACAGCUGUCUUUUCAAAGCAACCUCCUA
rnacentral:lncRNA from 10 species